AUUGAACGCUGGCGGCAUGCCUUACACAUGCAAGUCGAACGGCAGCACGGGUGCUUGCCCCUGGUGGCGAGUGGCGAACGGGUGAGUAAUACAUCGGAACAUGUCCUGUAGUGGGGGAUAGCCCGGCGAAAGCCGGAUUAAUACCGCAUACGAACUACGGAUGAAAGCGGGGGACCUUCGGGCCUCGCGCUAUAGGGUUGGCCGAUGGCUGAUUAGCUAGUUGGUGGGGUAAAGGCCUACCAAGGCGACGAUCAGUAGCUGGUCUGAGAGGACGACCAGCCACACUGGAACUGAGACACGGCCCAGACUCCUACGGGAGGCAGCAGUGGGGAAUUUUGGACAAUGGGCGAAAGCCUGAUCCAGCAAUGCCGCGUGUGUGAAGAAGGCCUUCGGGUUGUAAAGCACUUUUGUCCGGAAAGAAAUCCUUGGCCCUAAUACGGUCGGGGGAUGACGGUACCGGAAGAGUAAGCACCGGCUAACUACGUG
rnacentral:rRNA from 1 species